CGGCCCCGCCCAAACCGCGCUCCCCUCCCUCACCGCAUGCCCCGCCCUCCCUGCGUGACUCCGCCCUCCCUGAGUGGUCCCGCCCUCACCCCAAGCUCCUCAUUCCUGCGUGACUCCGCCCUCCCCACGCUCCCCGGGGUCCCCGCUCUCCCUGCGCGGCCCCACCUCACCCCGUGCCCCUCAUACCUGCGUGGCCCCGCCCUGACCGCGCUCCCCGCCCUCAUCGUGUAGCCCCGCCCUCCUUGCCCUCCCUGCGUGGCCCCGCCCUCACCGCGCACCUCCUCCUCACCGCGAGCCCUUCCUCCCCGCAUGCCCCGCCUUCACCAGUGCCCCGCCCACCCCUCACACCGGGCCCUGAAGUUCGUAGAGGGCUUGUCUUAGGGCGGCGCCCUUGCUCUGAGCCACCUCUGGACCUCAGAUCCUAGCCUGUCCCGCGUUCCGGUUCUUCCAGGCCUCCUAUUGACGGUCCAGCGCCCGGGGUCGGUGACCUUGCCCCCGCGCCCGGAUCCGUGCGGAGGUAGACCGUGUCCCCGCGCCCUGCUUGGCGCCCUGAUACAAACCAUGACACCGCAUCAAGCUCCUGCCCUGAGAUGGACCGUGCCCCGCGCAGGCUGACCCUGGCCUGGCACGUCCUAAGGGGGCCUGUAGUCUCCUACAGACGUUGUGUGUGCCUUAGCCCACUCCCAGUUGUCCUGAAGGGUAGAGGCGACGUCUCUUAGGACCGUGAUUACACUUUUCCCGUUUCCUCAUGGGCACGCACAGAGUGAGGAACCGACGCAGCUGUCUGCAGAAGUUGUGUUGUGCGCGCUCAAGGAGACGGAGAGGCUCUGGAGCGAGAGGCCCUCGGUGAACGGAUUCUGGAUUCGUCCAACACCAAGAAGGCCUUGCUUGUGUGUCAGGUUCCGGGAUCAGGAUUUCCAUUUUGCUUUCCUGUAGACACAUAGAGCAUGUAUAGGCUGCACUAAAUAAAGGCUGCUUGGGAACUCUUUUAGGUUAUUUUAAAAAUUCCCUUUAUGUGUUUAUAUUAUUAGUUUGAUUCGGAUUAAAUCAGUAUCAUAAAGCCUGUGGUAUUUGCAUCUCCUUGACUAUCUAAAGCAAAGCACCCAUAGACAUGAUGAAAUAAAAAUAAUAACAACAGAUAAAUAAAAAAAAA